GCAAGCUAUGCAUAACACGAACAUUAACGCCUCCCUACGUAUGCACGUUGGUUUCCUUCUGUUCCUAUUUAACCUCUGACCUUGAUUUUUAAAUGCGGAGAGUUUCCGCGGCUGUCUACACGUGUAAAACAUGCUAUGCUGGGCGGAUAUUCACUGAAAUUGAAGGAAGAUGACAGAAAACUCUUCCAGUGUUGACUCAAGCCUAGUGAAACAGAAACAGGGGAUGUAGCUCCGUAACGCCUUGCCUCCCCUGGGGCAGAGGGGGAGAGAAAGAUCAAGCUGCGUGUGACAGAGGAGAGCCGCAUCACCCCGCACCAUCCUGGUGACACCAGAUAUGACAGCGAUUGAAUUCGACGGGAAGAAAAGCAGAAGCCCCGGACCGCCUCGCUCCGUGCCAAUCUCCCCUUGUUCAUUUCCUUCCCGAGAUAAACAGCCCCGAAUCGCAUUCAAGCUCUCUUUGCGAGCGGGUUCACCAUGCCCCUAAUCAGCCCUUUCCGAGAAAGGCUUGCUUGAACUGCAGACAGUAUUCCCAGAGAGGCCACACUGCUGAUUUACAUAACAGCAUUAUCAUAUUUUGAAUGCUAUUCUCCCCUUCUUCUUUCUCUGCCUGCUAAUAUUUGAUUUUAUUUUUUUUUUUUUACUUUUUUAUUUUAUUAUUAUCAUUUUUUUAACCUGCAUCCACUCCCAGAGCCAGGGUUUGUGGGAUAUUCAGACCCUCUCCCCAGUUGCUAGAGACAAGCUGGAGCUUUAUAAAUUUUGUGUUGCAGCCUUUUCGGGCUUUUCUUCCUUGGCAUGCACCAAGGCAAACCUUGGCAAAUGCAUGUUGUUGCCCGUUUACCACAUUUGCAUUUUAUUUACAGUCCUUUCUGAUCUCCUCAAGAGUCUAUAGCUUUGAGUCAUCUCUUAAAAAUUUUUUAGCAUAUUGCUCAUCUUUCUUUCCAGAUUAGCCGUUCCUACGCCGAGCUAUCCGGGACCUCGGAGGCAGCGUCCAUAUUCCCUACCCUUAACCUUUUGCCAGAAUGAAAACCGAUCUUUGAACCCUUCCCGUCUCCCCCUUGGGUUGUUGAUCCACAGAAAAGCUCUGCUUCUCGCAGCAGGGCUCGGUAGCCCCUGCACAGGCCGCUCGCCAGCUCCCGGGCUCCUCGCCAGCAGCUGCGUGCGUGCAUUGCGGACUCCUCCGGCCGCGCUGCUCAGCCUGCCUCCGGCCUCCCCAGCACCCCGGGGCUCGCCGUGCCCUCCGGCACCUCGCUGCAAGCAGCACCCACAUCCCACAGAGUGCUCCCCGUAACCCCAUCGCAUUCACCGUGCCCCUCCGGCCUGGCGAAGGGGAGAGGCAGAGCCACCCCCGGCCGUCGCUUUCCCUUCACCCACACGAGCGCUGGCCCGCUGGCGAGGUGCCGGGGUUGUGAACUCGAACUCUGCCUGCAGACGGUGAAGCAACAUCCCCCGCGGUGCUUCCCAACCCGGACGGCUCCUCCGCUGACCCCACCGCUCGCUCCCCCCGCGGCCCCGUGGUGUGGGUGGAUUUGUGCUGCCCUGACGGGACGUGCAGGCCCCUGAAUCCUCCCGCUGCCUGCAAACCCACACAGGGACUGCCCGGGGUGCCCUUUCUGCCCUUCUUCUCCCCUCACGGAGCUGUGGGGAAUGUGGGGUGCCCCACAGCGGGCUGGGGGCCCCUUCACCUCCGAGCCUGCAUCCCUGCAAUGAGGAUUUACUCCCUGUGGUGUGGGCCGAGAGCAGGGAGCACACCUUCGCCGUACGCCCGGAGAACAAUCAUGACCUUUGUUUUCCCAGAUGACUAAGUGAGCUUGUGAUGUAUCAAAGGCAGCAUGGGCUACGGGGCACAAUAACCUGUGUUGUUACCUAGGUGUAAAACACAGAUAUCCCCCCCCAGCCUCCCCCGGGAGCCUCUUCUCAUGCUUGCAACAGGUCCUGCUGCUCACGCCGUGACAGCGGCACCCGUGGAGCGGCAAAUAAUGUCCUGGAGCGGGGCUGCAGCGUGGGUUUUUCUCCCCAGAAAGACUGCACGUGGCAACAGAAGGCUGGGCUCUGAUACGAGCCAGCAAGCAAUCCCUAAAUACAAGCGGGAAGAUGGGUAGCGACUUGCCAAGGCCAUCUGAGCUUGGGCUUAACAUCCUUCAUAUCGGCUCGUAAAGAGGCCUUGGAACAGCUCAACGGUUCUCUCUUUUAUUGUGCCCCUAGUUCGUUACUUGAGCAAUUGCACGCAAUAACAGCAUUUGUGCCAGAUCAGGCCCUAAAAAAAAAAAAAAAGGCAAAAAAAUGGGAACCUGUUGAUAAGAGAGCAGAAAUAAUAUCUCACUCCCGCUCCUGUGGUAUGCCAGGAGCGGAGGAUGGCUGGGGCUGUCGCUGAUAGCUUCUUUCCUCCGAACCCAGCAGCUUUGAUGUUGAACAAACACACCAAGAAGGAACCAGGUGCUGAGGGAGGAGAGGCGGCCAGGACGCCGCAGUCACUUCCCGAGGGACGUUCCUGAUGCGCAGCCCAGACCCAGGCUUUAGCCACAGCUUGGCAGGGCAACCGGCUGCUCCGGGGAGGAACCCCGGGGGUAUGUUUUUGCCAGGAGGAUGGCAGGAAAAGUUCACAGCCCAGCUGCUUCCGAAGUGGAGCUUUUCAGGUUCUCAACCUCCAGCCCCACAGCCUGGGGAGGGGACACGCAAGCAGCCACCGAGCUGCCACCGCUCUGAGGUCUGUGCCAAUGGCUCGGCUUUAACCCCCGUUUUUAACAAGUUAAAAAUGCUGCUGGAGUAUUUUUACAAUUGGUCCGUGCAUACCUUUGUUCUAAGCUCAGCACGACUUGUGUUCCUUCAGCCGCGUUUCCCCGCGGCUGGCUUUGCUGGGGCCUUUUUUUUUAUUAUUAUUAUUAAUUCCCUGGCUAGUAGGAUUUCUCUCCCAAUUAUUUUGCCAUGCACCAGCUGUGUGCCGCAGCAGGUUUCCGGAGCUGUUCGGAGAUCCUGCUUUUGUGAGCGCUGUAAGCUGUACAAUUUUGCAUUAAUCUGAUGGCCUUGUGAGCUUUCUGCACCAGCAGCAUCCGUGGCGAUCUCGCAGCCGCUGGCAUUGGCCCCUAAGUGGGGUUGCACACACUGACCCCAACCUUUCUGCACCCUUCAACCCCAUGCAUGCUGUGGUGAGGUCCUCCCAGCACAAUUCUGGGGUUUUGGCUCAUCUAAGGGGACUGCCACACGCGUGCACAGCCUGAGAAGGGCAACGCUGCUGUUCCACGCUGCUUCUCUCCUUCCUUUUAUUUCAGGCACCUACCAUAUAUUUUGUCCCAUUAACUCCCAGGUUCUUAGAUUUACUUCUGUCCCUUUUAGGGACGUUUAUCUGGUUUGGGUUUUGCAGCAGUUUGACGUCCAGUUCUGGGCAAGGGUUUGAGCCAAAUGCUUUAAAAACACUGACAAUCAAACAGAAGUGGGUGGAUGUUUUCUACAUUCCUUUAUUUUUGCAUGUGUGCCUGGUUCUUAGUAAGUGUCUGGGGAAAAAAAGAUAUGACUGAUGAUUUGUUGCUCUCUCUUUGGAAAAGGUCCAGACUGUAGAAGAGGGCUAAAGUGCCAGGAAAGAGCUUGCUGCAUCGAGGCAGGCUCAUAAUGUUUGAUUUUAUGCAUUCUCCGAGCAACGUAGUUUCUUUAAAUUGAGAUCCUGGAGAAUAUUAUUUUAUCUCUUUAUUCGUCACAGCUUAGUUGCUCUUCUCAGUUUUCCUUAUUUUUAGAAAGGUGAAGCGUGGCUCCCAAAUUAAAUUGUUACUGGAAUGGAUUUCAGCCAAGGGAUUCAUGGUUCAAGCCAUAAGGCACAGGAAACAUAAGCAGAAGUAAAACAAUGGGUUUUUAUUUUUUAUUUCAUUUGGCAGGGCGAGGAGUGAUAUGGCCUUGAAAGAUUUGCAUUUUUUUUUUACGUAACUACGAUGUGUUUCAAACAACACUAAGGACAAAUUUCUCUCUCUUCACUUUGCUUUAAAAAAAAAAAAAAUGUUAAAAAUGUCAAGAUUCCCAAUUUUCCUCAAUUCCAAGUAAACGUCUGUGUUUGGA